UAGGGAAUCUUCUGCAAUGGACGAAAGUCUGACCGAGCAACGCCGCGUGAGUGAAGAAGGUUUUCGGAUCGUAAAACUCUGUUGUUAGAGAAGAACAAGGACGUUAGUAACUGAACGUCCCCUGACGGUAUCUAACCAGAAAGCCACGGCUAACUACGUGCGAGCAGCCGCGGUAAUACGUAGGUGGCAAGCGUUGUCCGGAUUGAUUGGGCGUAAAGCGAGCGCAGGCGGUUUCUUAAGUCUGAUGUGAAAGCCCCCGGCUCAACCGGGGAGGGUCAUUGGAAACUGGGAGGCUUGAGUGCAGAAGAGGAGGGUGGAAUUCCAUGUGUAGCGGUGAAAUGCGUAGAUAUAGGGAGGAACACCAGUGGCGAAGGCGGCUCUCUGGUCUGUAACUGACGCUGAGGCACGAAAGCGUGGGGAGCAAACAGG
rnacentral:rRNA from 1 species